UAUGUGGUUUAAUUCGAUGCAACGCGAAGAACCUUACCUGGUCUUGACAUCCCGGAGACCCUUAGGAAACUAGGGGGUGCUUCCAUCUGGAAGAAUCUGGAGACAGGUGCUGCAUGGCUGUCGUCAGCUCGUGUCGUGAGAUGUUGGGUUAAGUCCCGCAACGAGCGCAACCCUUGCCUUUAGUUGCCAGCAGUUCGGCUGGGCACUCUAAAGGGACUGCCGGUGUUAAACCGGAGGAAGGUGGGGAUGACGUCAAGUCCUCAUGGCCUUUAUGACCAGGGCUACACACGUACUACAAUGGCCGAUACAAAGGGCAGCGACACUGCGAGGUGAAGCCAAUCCCGUAAAAUCGGUCUCAGUCCGGAUUGGAGUCUGCAACUCGACUCCAUGAAGUUGGAAUCGCUAGUAAUCGUGGAUCAGCAUGCCACGGUGAAUACGUUCCCGGGCCUU
rnacentral:rRNA from 1 species